UACGGGGGGGGCAAGCGUUGUUCGGAAUUACUGGGCGUAAAGGGUUCGUAGGUGGCCUGCUAAGUCAGACGUGAAAUCCCCCGGCUCAACUGGGGAAGUGCCUUUGAUACUGGCGGGCUCGAGCGAGGCAGGGGUCGUGGGAACUUCCGGUGGAGCGGUGAAAUGCGUUGAUAUCGGAAGGAACGCCGGUGGCGAAAGCGCACGACUGGUCCUCUUCUGACGCUGAGGCGCGAAAGCUAGGGGAGCGAACGGG
rnacentral:rRNA from 1 species